AACGAACGCUGGCGGCAUGCCUAACACAUGCAAGUCGAACGAGACCUUCGGGUCUAGUGGCGCACGGGUGCGUAACGCGUGGGAACCUGCCCUUAGGUUCGGAAUAACUCCCCGAAAGGGGUGCUAAUACCGGAUAAUGUCUUCGGACCAAAGAUUUAUCGCCUUUGGAUGGGCCCGCGUUGGAUUAGCUAGUUGGUAGGGUAAAAGCCUACCAAGGCGACGAUCCAUAGCUGGUCUGAGAGGAUGAUCAGCCACACUGGGACUGAGACACGGCCCAGACUCCUCCGGGAGGCAGCAGUGGGGAAUAUUGGACAAUGGGCGAAAGCCUGAUCCAGCAAUGCCGCGUGAGUGAUGAAGGCCUUAGGUUGUAAAGCUCUUUUACCCGGGAUGAUAAUGACAGUACCGGGAGAAUAAGCUCCGGCUAACUCCGUG
rnacentral:rRNA from 1 species